UGAGGAAGACCUCCGCCAAGCCCAAGCCCGCUUCUUCCGGCAGCCCAUGGUACGGCCCUGACCGUGUCAAGUACUUGGGCCCAUUCUCCGGCGAGGCACCUAGCUACCUCACCGGCGAGUUCCCCGGUGACUACGGCUGGGACACCGCCGGACUUUCCGCUGACCCCGAGACAUUCGCCAAGAACCGUGAACUUGAAGUGAUCCACUCAAGGUGGGCCAUGCUUGGUGCUCUUGGAUGCGUCUUCCCCGAGCUAUUGGCCCGCAACGGUGUUAAAUUCGGUGAGGCGGUUUGGUUCAAGGCCGGAUCACAAAUCUUCAGUGAGGGUGGACUCGACUACUUGGGCAACCCAAGCUUGGUCCAUGCUCAGAGCAUAUUGGCCAUAUGGGGUGUCCAGGUUGUAUUGAUGGGAGCUAUUGAGGGCUACAGAAUUGCCGGUGGGCCCCUCGGAGAAGUUGUCGACCCACUUUACCCGGGUGGUAGCUUCGACCCGUUGGGUCUUGCUGAGGAUCCGGAAGCUUUUGCCGAGCUAAAGGUUAAGGAGCUGAAGAACGGGAGACUCGCAAUGUUUUCCAUGUUUGGAUUCUUUGUUCAGGCUAUUGUCACCGGAAAGGGACCGUUGGAGAACCUUGCUGACCACCUUGCCGACCCAGUUAACAACAACGCAUGGGCCUUCGCCACAAACUUCGUACCCGGAAAGUGAGCUUAGGAGCACAAAUUGUUGUUAGUAACGUUGUAUUGGUGUAAAUGAGUGAUUAGUUUUCAGCAUUAAGAAUACGCAUUGUGCCAUUUUUUUUCCUUUGGUUUGAUUAUAUUGAUCGAGUAUGAUAAAUUGUAUAAUCUCAAUGUAUCGAACGUUUGCUUCAUUUAGCGGUCUAUAUAUGGACAAAAAGCAUUUAAUUCCUUUCAGGUGAGAUUGCACAAUCAAUUGCUUACUCAAAAAGAUGUCAAUGGCAAAGAAACACCGAGGAGUACAAUUGGACCAUCUUCGUGUCGCUGUUGAAACCCUCACGCCUCCGUCUGUUUCGAUGGCUUAUCCCGUUUAUUCUCUGCAAAUAUUUUCUGAUGGCGCGAGAUAUUUGCAACUCUCCCCCCAUACUAUUCUGCAAAGCUGAGAAUCUGCAAAUUACUUGAGAAAAUUCAGAGCUUACCUUGAGUAUGCGACGCACACGUGUGUAGAGUUGGUUUCAGUCACAAGCCAUCAUAGAUAAUUUGGAUGAUCUUUGGUAAAUCCCCAAUCUCUGGGAAGUUCACUAUUCAUGUAAAUUCAACUGUAAUGAAUUAUUGGAGGAAGAACAUGAACAAGAGAAAUCGAGCUUUUGGUGGGUAAUCCUUCCAUGGUCACUUUUUUAUUCAACAAAAGCAAAUACGUACGAGUUUAAAAAAAUCCAGCCCAAAUCUAUCCUAUCACCACUAACCUACCAAUCCAUAUCACCUGCCAUUGUUCAUGGAUAAUGGAUUUAAGUUAUGUGCGUAUAUACAUGUAUACAUCGAGAACUGAAUAAUCACUGAUGCUUGUUGUCUAAGCUCGAAAAUCUUUUGUUUUUCAAUUGCAGAUAAAUCAUUUAGAUUGAAUUGAAUUGAAAUCCAUCACUAGAUAUUCAAUUGUUAGUUGUUACCAGGCCUUUAACAUUAUGAAUCGACUAACGAAAUCGGAGAAUCAAAGAAUUGACAUUUCAACCGUUGUAUUCCGACUAAGAAUUCCUGAAUAAAGUGGGAAUCACACAUGCAUUAAUUCACACACAUAAUUAGUUGAUAAUAAGUAACCAGAAUAUAUUGUUUCAGCUAAUGUUCGACAAUUGUUUAUGGCACAAUUUAUGAGGGGUAUGGCCGAGGGAGGUCCGAUUCUGUAAGUUCAGUCCCUUUAAAAAUGAAGAAAAACUAACCAUCAGUUGCAAUAUUUGGUGAUUCCUAUGUCGGAAUCUGAUCAACUGAUCUACAAAUAUAAUGGAUAGUCUGUUUAUGGCCAGACAUCAACUGUACUCCGAUUGUAUGCAUGUCUUGUUCAAAUGCACUGUGUAAAAAUCCCGAAUUAGUCCAUUGGAGAUGUUAUAUUUCAAUUAUAUUGUUGUUCUUUGUUAAGGAUUUCUAUCCAUUUAUGCCUAAAUCUUAUCUUCAAUAUUGAAUCUUUUUUCAUUUAUAUCUCGGUGUGUAGAUAGUUUGACAGCUUCGUAGUUGAUAGCUCUUCUAGUUUUUGCAGCUUAGUUGGUACGUGAUACUCAUCGGAUUUGUUACUAUGACUCGAGCACCGGAAAAGCAGAUUCACAUUCGUUGAAUCCCAUAUAAAUAGCAUUAUAUAAAAUAUAUCAAUAAUUUACAUCAGCCUUAAUUCAUUACACUCUUCUAUGUGAACUUCACUUUCCAGGUACGAAGUUUGUGGCAAAUGCCCAGGCAUUGUUGUUAACUGGGUCGGCAAGAUGGUCAGCGAGGUUCUCCAAUGGUCCCUUUCCGGUAACAAUAGCUUGAACAAAGAAUCCGAACAUGGAGAACAUUGCAAGUCUCCCAUUCUUCAGCUCCUUUACCUUUAGCUCAGCGAAAGCUUCCGGAUCCUCGGCAAGGCCCAAUGGGUCGAAGCUACCACCGGGGUAAAGUGGGUCAACAACCUCUCCGAGGGGCCCACCGGCAAUUCUGUAGCCCUCAAUAGCUCCCAUCAAUACAACCUGGACACCCCAUAUGGCCAAUAUGCUCUGAGCAUGGACCAAGCUUGGGUUGCCCAAGUAGUCGAGUCCACCCUCGCUGAAGAUCUGAGAUCCGGCCUUGAACCAAACCGCCUCACCGAAUUUAACACCGUUGCGUGCCAAAAGCUCGGGGAAGACACAUCCAAGAGCACCAAGCAUGGCCCACCUGGAGUGGAUCACUUCAAGUUCACGGUUCUUGGCGAAUGUCUCGGGGUCGGCGGAAAGUCCGGCGGUGUCCCAGCCGUAGUCACCGGGGAACUCACCGGUGAGGUAGCUAGGUGCCUCACCGGAGAAAGGACCCAAAUACUUGACACGGUCAGGGCCGUACCAUGGACUGCCGGAUGCGGCGGGCUUGGGCUUGGCGGCGGUCUUCCUCAUUGAGAACCUGCCGGUGGUGGUGAAUUCGGGGGUGGACUUGACUGCCUGCCCGGCGAAAGUGGGGGAAGACAAGGCCAUUGAAGAGGCAGCCAUUUAUGGAAAUGGAAGGGAAGUGUUUGCUUUCUUGAGUGUGUAUGAGUAGAAAGAGGGAAGUAAGUAGUGUUGGUGAUGAUGACAAGGGAAGAUGGCAGUUAUUUUAUAGCUAGACGGGAGGAGGAGGUUGCUUCGACCAGACACCCGGUGAAAAACACCGGGUGUAGGGUCGAACAAAUCGGAGGAGGAAUGGUGGUUGAUCUUAUCCUGUGAUAUCUAGCCUAUCUCUUCUUUCAUUGGGUUUUCAAGAUCCCAUUGUAUCUAAGAUUUUUUUUUGGAGUUCUGCCAAUAAUAUCUCAAUUGAACACUCUGUAACUGGGACAUUCGGACUUGUACAUUAUUACAGAUAAUGAGCAAAGACAAAAGAAAAGUUUACAUUACUCUUAAUAAAUUAGUACAAGUACAUUUAAACUACAAAAUUAUCCUUUUAUUUGAAAAAUUAAAUAUAUACCCCUAAAAACUAAUUAUGUGUAACAAACUUUAAUAGAGAUUAUGAAAUAUUUUUUUUGCCACUGAAAAAGAAAAUUGUUAGAAUAUCCCAACAUUGAAAUGGAUGUUUUGCCCUUGUAUUAUUUAUUUUUUUUUAAAUGAAUUUUUUCAUAAAAAAAUAUUUUAUAAUUUAGAAGGUUACUUUCUCUUUUUUUUUUUUUUUUUUUUUUGAGAAUAAAGGUUACUUUCUCUUACUCAUACGUGUAUGCAGUGGCGAAUCCAGGAUUUUUGCCAAGGGUGUUCGAAAUUAAAUAUAGUAAAAAAUAUAAUGGUUGGCUAACAGUUUACGGGGGUUCGGGGGCAGCGUCCCCGAUUUUUUUUUUUUUUGAAUACUGUACACAUUAAAUAAUAAAAAAAAAAAAAUUUAAAGGGAUUAGUUUACCAUUUUUGGGCAAAUUUAGAAAAUAUUUAAACAUAAAAUUGGUGAAAAUAUUAAAGGAGUGGUAAACAUAUUAAAGUUGCAAGUGACAAAAUGUACGUUUCAUUAUCAUAUUUUGAAUGUUCAAAAAGAAAAAAAAAACUCACAUAGUUGUAAAUAUAGAAAAAAAAUUGAAAUAAUACAUAUAUAUACAAUAUUUAGAAUUUUGGAAUAAUUUAUAUUAUAUUUAAUAUUAAAGAAAUGGUAAAUAAAUUAAAGUUACAAAUAGCAAAAUAUAUGUUAUAUUAGGAGAUUUUUUUUAAAUAUUAAAAAAUACCUACAUAUUCAACAUUUUUUAAAACAAUUGAAAUAUUGAAUUUUGGAAUAAUUUAUAUUAUAUUUAAUAUUAAAGAAAUGGUAAAUAAAUUAAAGUUACAAAUAGCAAAAUAUAUGUUAUAUUAGGAGAUUUUUUUUUAAAUAUUAAAAAAUACCCACAAAUUCAACAUUUUUUAAAACAAUUGAAAUAUUCUAUGUAAUGGAAAAUUAGGAAUAAAAAAGAAAAAAUAAUAGAGAGGUUCAGACUCUUGUAAAGGUCUCGAACCCUGUACCUCUGCAUGAUUCUAUAGAGCACUUAACCAGUUAAGCUACAGCAAUGCAUUGGCCAGGUUUUACAUUUGCAGUUAUAUAGUACUAAAUAUAUACGAAAUAUAUUUUUUUUAAAAUCAAGGGUGUGCAGUAGCACACCCUUGGACCACACUAGAUACGCCACUGCGUGUAUGUCACUCGUACAAGAUGAAAUUCAGUAAAUAUUCUGGUCAGCAAAUUUUUCUAUUUUUUAUAAUUUCACCAGUCUGGUUGUUAAUUUUCAUCUUUUGGUGGAAGCAUUAGUUGUUUACUACUCUCUUUGAACAUUAUUUACAGUACAGUAAGAAAAGCUCUAGAACAUAAACUAACUAAAAAUAGUACUCUGCGAUUGGAUUCCUGAAGUCCAGUACACUUGAUGUUGUGGCAAUGCUUCAAUAUCAGGAUUUCCAGAUAUCCACACCAGAGCUCCGAUCCUCAUCCAUGCAUCUCGAUUUUCAUAAAUCAAUCUCCAGCCGCACACUUGGCAGAACCUCAUUGGCCAAAAGAUCCCAAGAGGAUUAGUGGUGAUAGCCGUUGCCAACUGUACAUAUAUGCCACGUCAAGAUUACCGAAUAUCGCCUGCCUAGCAAUAGCAACCUAGAUAAGGAUAUUCAUAGAUAAGCCCGAUUCAUAUAAAUACAUUCCCUCGUCUGCCUUAGAAAUAAACCCAUCAACAAACACAAACAGCCUCCUUUGCAAAUAAAUACACAUUCUUUCAUUUCAUAAUAUACAUCAAUGGCUGCCUCUUCAAUGGCCUUGUCUUCCCCCACUUUCGCCGGACAGGCAGUCAAAUCCACCCCUGAAUUCACCACCACCGGCAGGUUCUCAAUGAGGAAGACCGCCGCCAAGCCCAAACCUGCAUCGUCGGGCAGCCCAUGGUACGGCCCCGACCGUGUCAAAUAUUUGGGCCCAUUCUCCGGUGAGGCCCCCAGCUACUUGACCGGCGAAUUCCCCGGUGACUACGGUUGGGACACCGCUGGGCUUUCGGCUGACCCUGAAACGUUCUCCAAGAACCGUGAGCUUGAAGUGAUCCACUCCAGGUGGGCCAUGCUAGGUGCUCUUGGAUGUGUCUUCCCCGAGCUAUUGGCUCGCAACGGUGUUAAAUUCGGUGAGGCGGUUUGGUUCAAGGCCGGAUCACAAAUCUUCAGCGAAGGUGGGCUCGAUUAUUUGGGCAACCCAAGCUUGGUCCAUGCUCAGAGCAUCUUGGCCAUUUGGGGAGUCCAGGUUGUAUUAAUGGGAGCUAUCGAAGGCUAUAGAAUUGCCGGUGGGCCCCUCGGUGAAGUUGUCGACCCACUUUACCCCGGUGGUAGCUUCGACCCAUUGGGUCUUGCUGAGGAUCCGGAAGCUUUUGCGGAGCUCAAGGUUAAGGAGCUAAAGAAUGGAAGACUUGCAAUGUUCUCGAUGUUCGGAUUCUUUGUUCAAGCUAUCGUCACCGGAAAAGGACCAUUGGAGAACCUUGCUGACCACCUAGCUGACCCGGUUAACAACAAUGCAUGGGCCUUUGCCACUAACUUCGUACCCGGAAAGUGAAAUUGACAUAGGUAAUGAUGAAUUCGGAUUGAUUAAUUAAGGAUGAUGUAUGUAAAGUAGUGUGAAUUAUUGGAAUAAUUAAUAUAAUGUGGUUUUAUGUGCUUCAACGAUUUCUAUUGUUGCUUUUGCAUUCAUAUAAACAAACCUAAAUUGAGUUAGAUUACAUUAUAUUCACAAGGAAAUUAUGUUCAUAUUAUUUGAAGAACUUUUGUCCGUGCGGAUAAUCUCAAUCUGCUCAAUAAAUUAUCUGUUCAUCUGCUUACUUGGGAAAGUACUCAACGCCGACGUUUUGGCUGUGGCUAAUGGGCUAAUUACAUCAUCUAAUCAUACUCGCGCGGAUUUGAAGAUCCAGAAGUUAUGGGCCCAACGGAAGUGUUCAGAAAUCUCUCUCUCUCUCUCGCUUAUUUCUCUGUCUUCUUCGGUUCUUCACUCUUUCCUAUUUCAUAUCUUCAUUUCUGCAAAUUAUAUAUAAAAAACCUUCCAAUUCUGCAUGUUGUUCUUUAAACAGUUUCUCUUGAGAUCAGAUUUGAUGAGAUUCGGUGUGCAUAUCACCUGUUUGAUGAAAUUUAUGUGCGAACGAAAUUUGACAUCUUGCAAACUUUUUAGUAACAGAGGUAUUAGAAAAACUAAGAUCAACCAAUAAAAAUAUUAAGCAACUGUAACUCCGAAAAUCAUCAAGUUCUUGAAAGCCAAAAUCUGAAGUUGGGCGUUUUAUAUAUGGGCUGGAUUAGUUCUUGAAAGCCCAAAUAUGUUAAAAAAUUAAUAACAUCGAUUAUUUCUUCCAUUAGAUCAAACCCAUAUACACGAGGCAUUGCAUUAAUGCUUAAUACUAAUCACUCAUUUACACUAGAGAAUUAACAACAAUAGUGGGCUCACAUUAUCCCAACUGAAAACACAUUCACUUUCCCGGUACGAAGUUGGUGGCAAAGGCCCAUGCGUUGUUGUUAACCGGGUCAGCAAGGUGGUCGGCAAGGUUCUCCAACGGUCCCUUUCCGGUAACAAUAGCCUGAACAAAGAAUCCGAACAUGGAAAACAUUGCUAGUCUCCCGUUCUUUAGCUCCUUAACCUUUAGCUCGGCAAAAGCUUCUGGAUCCUCAGCAAGACCCAACGGGUCGAAGCUACCACCCGGGUAAAGUGGGCCGACAACUUCACCGAGGGGCCCACCGGCAAUUCUGUAGCCCUCAAUAGCUCCCAUCAAUACAACCUGGACACCCCAUAUGGCCAAUAUGCUCUGAGCAUGGACCAAGCUUGGGUUGCCCAAGUAGUCGAGCCCACCCUCGCUGAAGAUUUGUGAUCCGGCCUUGAACCAAACCGCCUCACCGAAUUUAACACCGUUGCGUGCCAAAAGCUCGGGGAAGACGCAGCCUAGAGCACCAAGCAUGGCCCACCUUGAGUGGAUCACCUCUAGUUCACGGUUCUUGGCGAAUGUUUCGGGGUCAGCCGAAAGUCCAGCGGUAUCCCAGCCGUAGUCACCGGGGAAUUCGCCGGUCAAGUAGCUAGGUGCCUCACCGGAGAAUGGGCCCAAGUACUUGACACGGUCCGGGCCGUACCAUGGGCUGCUGGAUGCGGCGGGCUUGGGCUUGGCGGAGGUCUUCCUCAUGGAGAUCCUGCCGGUGCCGGUGACUUCGGGAGAGAGCUUGACAGCCUGUCCGGCGAAAGACGGAGAAGAUAGAGCCAUUGAAGAAGCAGCCAUUGAAACUAGGAAGAGGGAAGUGUUUUGCUUGUGUGACUGUUUUAAUUAAUGAGUAGAAAGAGGAAGUGUUGGUGAUAAGGGAAGGAAAUAAAGCAGUUAUUUAUAGUUAGGCGCGGGAGGAGGAAUGGUGGUUGAUCUUAUCUUGCAAUAUAUAUAGAGAUUAGCAGCAUCUCUCUUCUUUCAUUGGAUUUUCAAGAUUUGAUUCUACAUUUGGCCUCUUCUGCCUGCUCAGUUGGCAAAUUAUAGUCCAUCAUUUCAUAUUUUUUCUCUCAAUAAAAUCUAGACCAAGAUUUUUUGCACGCACCUUGCAUUUCAGUUGGUGUCAUAAAUAAAUUAAAUUACAAAAUCCCCCCUCAAGUUUAUAUAAAUUACAAAAUCCUCUAUUUUUUGCAAAGCUAAACUUACCUCUCAAAUUAGCAAAAGUUGUGAAAUAUCCAAAUGCUCUUGAAUAGGGUUGUGCACGGAUCGGUUUUAACUACCAACCAACUCAUUUUCGACCCAUAAUUUGUGACGGAUAAUUAAUCAUCAACCGACCCAUUUAAGUUGGGACGAUAAUGUCAACCAACCCAUGUGUAGUUGGGUCGAUAAUGAUUUUUAAUAUGGUAAAAAGUUGGUUAGUCGGGUAAUAUCGGUCAACCAACUUUAUUUAUGAACUUAAUAUUUAUUAAUUUUAUUUACAGUGUUUAUUAUUUUUAACUUCAAAUUUCUAUUUCAUAUCACAUUUAUGAAAUUUUCUAAUAUUGAUCAAAAUCCUAAAAACAAUAAAUCUAACCUAAUUAUCUCAUUUGAACUAUUUGAAUUUUAAAACAUAUAGCCUAAAAUAUUUGGACGAUUAUUAAUUGUUUAAUUAUUUAUGUUUAAUUGCAAUACAUAAAAUUUUGUAUUCAAAUAUUGUUGAACUAGUCAUACUUAAUUGUAAAAACAUAGUGUUGCAGCAACUAAUAAAAUAUUAAGGAUGACCCAUCAACCAAACCAUCAAUCGACCCUAAAUUGGUUGUCAACCACCACCCAACCCAUGUCAAUUGGGUCGAUAAUGGUUUUCAAUAUUUACUAAAUUUGGUUGGAUGAGUUGGGUUGAUUUUAUGGCUGGUUUUUAACCAAUCCAACCAACGCAGAGCCCUACUCUUGACGAUAUUUUUUUACUUUUUCUUAAUAUGUUUUUUUUACAAUUUCUUAAUAUUAAAACAUAUGUUAUUUUCAAAGAAGAAUAGAGAGAUUUUUUUACAAUUCUCCAGCCACACACUUGGCAAAACCUCAUUGGUCAGAAGCACAUACUCACAAUCACCUGUUGUCCUCUUCUUCAUGUGAUUCUUACAACCUCAUGUAUGAUAGCUCCAAAAUUAUUCAAAGAGGAUUAGUGGUGAUAGCCGUUGCCAAAUGGGCAUACAUAUAUGCCACGUCAAGAUUCCCAAAUGCCACCUGUAUAUCAUAUCACUACCAAUCUAGAUAAUGAUAUUCAUAGAUAAGGCUCUCAUGUCAUUAUAUAACACUAUUAAUUCAUAUAUAAAUACCUUGAUUUGCCUGCCUUAGCAAUCAACCCAAACAAACACAUUCUCUGCAAAUACACAUUCUUUCAUUUGAUAAUACAACAAUGGCUGCCUCUUCAAUGGCUCUAUCUUCCCCAUCCUUCGCCGGACAGGCAGUCAAGUCCACCCCCGAAUUCACCGGCAACGGUAGAGUCUCAAUGAGAAAGACCGCCGCCAAGCCCAAGCCCGCCUCUUCCGGAAGCCCAUGGUACGGCCCGGACCGUGUAAAGUACUUAGGCCCAUUCUCCGGGGAGGCACCGAGCUACUUGACCGGCGAAUUCCCCGGUGACUACGGCUGGGACACCGCCGGACUUUCGGCUGACCCCGAAACAUUCGCCAAGAACCGUGAGCUUGAAGUGAUCCA
rnacentral:lncRNA from 1 species